CAUUGACAGUCUCCCUGAUUUUGGGACUGAGAUCGAUGCGCAUCGCAUCCCCUCGCACCAGUUCUCACCAGAUAGUGGGUGAGCUGGCGUACUGUCGAAGGGAAAUUAAUCUUAGUAGUGGCGAAGGAUCGUUUCUUAUUUGAUUGAAAGAUAGGAGGCCUUGGCCCCCUUCCCUUCGCUGCGUUCUGGUUUGCAAUUCAGGGGGAGAGCGUAAAGCUGCCCUUAUACUCUAUGCAUUCAUAUAAGGCGACCAUUAGGUUGGUCCGACAAAGAAAAGUUUUUUCUCUCUGACAUAUGGUCCAACAUGUAGCUGGGCAGAAGUGAUAAAACUAGCUCUCCAUGACUCAUUACCAGGGGGGCUCAAAGUCUAGCCGCUGAUAGCUAUUCACUAUGUAUGGUAUGGAGCCGUGCCUCUCGAUAUGGUUCUAUAUAUAGCGGGUCUCUCUCAACAUCGAGUUCAGAAAAUGUUGACCUUUAAUAGCAAGACUUUUGGAAUAAACGAGACUUUUAGAAUAAGACAUUCUCUCAGAUGAAAGAAGACCGGAGGCCUCUAGCAAGUGGUGCAAGUCUUUUUUUGUUAGGGGGGAAAGAAAGGGGUGGGCUCUUCCCAUCCAAGAGUGACCCGUGCACAGAGCACCCUGGGGGCGUUGCAUAACAUUCUUGAUUAAUCUGGGGGCCAGGCCAUUGUGAUAGAGAUCUUGAUUCAUCAUACUAAAUCGAGGAAAGGUCGAUCCUAGCUCGGGGGGCAUGCAUCAUAUGGAAUGAGGUCGGCCCACAGGACCUAAACUGGCUCUACUCCUGCCCAUUCUCGCCCACCUUACU
rnacentral:lncRNA from 1 species